rnacentral:lncRNA from 1 species
UCAGGUAUGUCUUUAUCAGCAGUGUGAAAACAGACGAAUUAAGAAGGACACCAACCUUCUUAAUUAUAUAAAUGAAUUCCUUGGAUUCAAUGAAUAUCUAUCUAUCUAUCUAUCUAUCUAUCUAUCUAUCUAUCUAUCAUCCAUCAUUUGUUAUCUCCCCGUACUGAUUCUAUUUCUCUGGAAAAUCCUCACUGAUACAGAUGCUUACUAAUUCCACUUUUAAAAAAAACAACUAGAAAAGAGAAAGUAACUAAUUCAUUUUUGAGCCCAAAUGAUCUCCAUGAAAGCUAGAGCCCUCCAACUAAAGACUGCCAGAAAACAAUUUUUGAUUAAGACAACUACAUUUUUUUCUGAAUUUAACAAGAAAUGAUGCAGAAGGUGAGAAGCAGAGAGGGCAAAUAUGAUCUGAAAUACAAUUAUUGUUAGGGUUUAAGUUGACUAUUGUAUGUUAGCAGGAGAUGGGAGACACGUUGUGUUUUUCUGGGCUCUUGAUGAUUUUCUUCGUGCCAGAAAACUGUUCAUGUUUUUUAAACACUAUAAAAUGUCUCCCUUUCCCCCUCAGCACAUGGGAAAUGUCAUCACACAAAUGAUCUAACUCCAUAUAACUACGCCAGAGAGAUUGGAAUUUAUAUUCAUGAGGAACACACAGACACAUAAUUCAUGAGUGAUGCUGACAUCAGCAGGUAGAUACUCCUGACCAUCACAGAGAUGCUUACAGCAUCCACAAAUUGCAAUUGUGAACUCCUGCUGAGAAUGACCAGGUCUGGGUUCAACGUCUUUGCCUCCUUUUCUACACAUUGCAUAAGGUUCCCCUCCAACACAUCUCCCAUUAGCAUGGAUUGCAAAAGCUUCAGGCAGCAGUGAGUCAACCAUAGCUGCACCUGGGGAACAGAGAAAAAAAAAUACCACUGCCCUGACCCCAUUCCAAAAGGACUGAAUCAGACUCUCUAAUCAGGGGCUUGGCUAAUAACCAUAGUUAAGGGAAAUAAAGUAAUUCUGGUGCAACUUGACUUGAGAAUCAGUUGUACUUCCAUCUGGCUGCAUAGUAGAAUCAUGUGGGGAACACGCCAAUAUCUAGGCCAUACCCAAAAACAAAGCUAUCAGAUUCUCUGGGACUGAGGCUUCUGCAGUCAUCAUUUAUAAAUAAAACAAAAAUCUUCAGAUGAUUCUAAUCUGCAGCUAAAGUAAGCAACAAAGAGCUGUUCGUUGUGCAAAAAAUAAAAAUAAAAUUAGAAAAUAUGUUUUCUGGAAUAUGAGAAACUUUGGAAAGACUUGGAAGUAAGAGGACUCCCUGAGGUGAGGGAAACACAAAAAUUUGCCUGCUAGUUAGAUAUUUAUGAUAGAUCACUGUAUGUAUCCAGAAAAAUGUCUGGAAUCAAAGUCAAUCUUAUGAACUCUCUCAGGGGAACCAAGGAAGUUUGGAGACUUUUUAAUUUCUACCCUCCUUUUCUGUUGACAGUUGUAACCACAAGCAUGAUUGUCCUUUAAUCAUAAAAGGAAAAGAAAAGAAAGAAAGGUCACCUUGAGCCAGUGGGAUGUGCUGGGUUUCCCUCCACCUGCCUGUCACCCGCAGCUUAAUCUUCUUUGCCAACUCCAGAGCCUUGGCUGUUCCCACUAACAGCACCAUGAUUCUUAUAAUUCUUCCACCUCCUCCUCUCCUGCCUCUUAAAGCCCUGGCAAUUAACCUCAUGUCUCCAUCCCUUAAUUCCCAUACAGAUGUUGGCAAUUGUCAUAUCUCCGGUGGAGCCCUGCAGUGUGGCCUCCAAGGUUCAGUCUUUCCACAAAUAGUCUCUUAUCAGCAUAUCAAGGUUGAUCUGUUGAAAUCUGGAUCAUCGUGCACCAGUGAUGAAUAUUUCUAAGCAUAAUUCUUUUUCUGUUUUUAUUAGAGACAGAUCCUGUAUUCAUUUUCACUUAGCUUUUUGUCUGCGUUGUUGGCAGCCAUUUUUUUUUUCACUUGGGAAAUGAUGCCAGUGGCAGAGGUUCCAAAGAGCACAACCUUCAGAGCACUCAUUUCGUCCAUACUUUGUGCAUUUGCCCAUUCAUUCAUUCGUUCAUUUAUACACCUUCAUGGAGCAUGUUCUCCAAGGCUGGCAUUAGCUAAGUGCUUAGGCCACAAAGCUUAAAGACGCAAUCUCUACCCUCAAACAGCUUACCAACUAGUGAAAAAUUCAGACAACCAAAUCCACAAUUAUACUAAAGGAUGAUUUACAAUGAGAGAAGAAAAUAGAAGCUAAGUGCCAUCAAUUACAGGCUGUGUGACCCUAGGAAAUCUACUUAGCCUCUCCGUGCCUCAGGUUCCUUGCCAAGAAAAUAGAACCAUUAGAAGCAGAUGCCAUGAGGGUUGUAAUGAGUACUAAAUGAGUUAUUAUUUGUAAAGUGCUGUUAACUGUGUUUGGUACAUGUGUUUGCUCAAGAAAGUAGAUACAAAGCUGCCAUAAACAGAAUACAGAAUAAAAAUAAAUCUGCAUACAUAUUGUCAGUUAACUUUUGAUAAUGGUGCAAAGGUAAUUUAAUGAAUAAUGAUUAUGUUAUUGAGCAGUCAAUUCAUACCUGGCGUGCAGAGAAGCCCCUAUUAUGGCACCAGCUUUUGAGACAAGAAAAAGCUUCACUGCAAGUUGACUGGCAAGGAGGUAGAGGCAACGCUGAAAUUUGUCUCCCUGAUCUGGAGGUGGGUCAAGCUCUAUGACGUUCCUAACUAGUCCCAGGUGCUGCCAAUGCAGCCAGCCUGCCUGGCUGGUGAUACUAAGAGGUUAAAGCUGUUUUUCAUUGGCAUGUCUGGGCUAUAUGACUUGCAAUUUUGGCCCUGUGCUAUCCAAAACAACUUAAGCAAUGGUUACUCGGUUUGAGCGGGCCCUGCAACUUACAAUUGUCUUUUUAACAAAUUCUGUUGGAACAGUCGGUCAUCAUAUACAAAAAUAAGAGACCUUGACUUAUACCUCAAACUAUGCACAAAACUCAACAUGAAUCAUAGCUCUAAAUGUAAAAUCUAAAAAAAAACAAAACUGCUAAAAGGGAACUUAGGAGAAAAAAAAUCUUUAUGACCUGGUACUAGACAAUUAUUUCUUAUGUAAAACACAAAAAGUACAAAUUAUAAAAGAAAAAAUUGAUAACUUGGACUUCAUCAAAAUUAUAGGCUUCUGCUCUUUGAAAGAAUGUUAAGAGAAUGAAAAGACAAGCCACAGCUAGGAGAAAAUAUUUGCAAAUUACAAAUCUAAUAAUGGGCUUGUAUCUAAAAUAUAUCGAGAACUCUCAAAACUCACAGAAAACAGCCAAAUUAAAACGUGAGCAAAAGAUUUCAAUAAGCGCAUAACCACUGAAGAUAUAUGGAUGGCAAAUAAGCACAUUAAAAAUGCUUGACAUCAUUAGUCAUCAGGGAAAUGAAAAUGG